rnacentral:rRNA from 1 species
GGUUUCCGUAGGUGAACCUGCGGAAGGAUCAUUGAAUAUGCAAACCACAACACGCACUCCCUAUUUGUGUACCGACGUUAGGUCAACACACGCAAGUGUGUGGCCUACUAACCUACACACCAUUGACCAACCAAUAAUCAAACCAAACUCUGAAGCUUUGGCUGCUGUUAAUCGGCAGUUUUAACAAAGAACAACUCUCAACAACGGAUAUCUUGGCUCUCGCAACGAUGAAGAACGCAGCGAAAUGCGAUACGUAGUGUGAAUUGCAGAAUUCCGUGAACCAUCGAAUCUUUGAACGCAUAUUGCGCUCGACCCCCCGGGGAAGAGCAUGUCUGCCUCAGCGUCGGUUUACACCCUCACCCCACUUACUUCACAGUGAGCGCUUGCUGCGUUGUAUGACCAGCAACUGGGAUGGAUCUGGCCCUCCCAAUUGAAGCAAUUCGAUUGGGUUGGCUGAAGCACAGAGGCUUAAACUGGGACCCGUACCGGGCUCAACUGGAUAGGUAGCAACACCUUCGGGUGCCUACACGAAGUUGUGUCUGAGGACCUGGUUAGGAGCCAAGCAGGAAACAUGGAAACAUGUACUCUGUAUUCGACCUGAGCUCAGGCAAGGCUACCCGCUGAACUUAAGCAUA